rnacentral:misc_RNA from 1 species
AACGCACCUUGCGCCCUUUGGUAUUCCGAAGGGCAUGCCUGUUUGAGUGUCAUUAAAUCAUCAACGCAGUCUUUUCUGCGAUUGGACUUUGGAGCGCGCAGGCUCUCUUCUUGAGAUCUGCUCCUCUUGAAAUGCAUUAGCGGCCUGCCCACUUGGCGGAUCUGCCCCGGCGUGAUAAUUAUCUACGUCGCGGCGGCAAAGCCCCUAUUCGGUGCGGCUGCUCCUAACCGUUGCCCCUGUUGCGACAACUUCAUGACAAUUUGACCUCAAAUCAGGUAGGAUUACCCGCUGAACUUAA